GGAAUUACUGGGCGUAAAGCGCACGCAGGCGGUUUGUUAAGUCAGAUGUGAAAUCCCCGGGCUCAACCUGGGAACUGCAUCUGAUACUGGCAAGCUUGAGUCUCGUAGAGGGGGGUAGAAUUCCAGGUGUAGCGGUGAAAUGCGUAGAGAUCUGGAGGAAUACCGGUGGCGAAGGCGGCCCCCUGGACGAAGACUGACGCUCAGGUGCGAAAGCGUGGGGAGCAAACAGGAUUAGAUACCCUGGUAGUCCACGCCGUAAACGAUGUCGACUUGGAGGUUGUGCCCUUGAGGCGUGGCUUCCGGAGCUAACGCGUUAAGUCGACCGCCUGGGGAGUACGGCCGCAAGGUUAAAACUCAAAUGAAUUGACGGGGGCCCGCACAAGCGGUGGAGCAUGUGGUUUAAUUCGAUGCAACGCGAAGAACCUUACCUGGUCUUGACAUCCACAGAACUUUCCAGAGAUGGAUUGGUGCCUUCGGGAAC
rnacentral:rRNA from 1 species